rnacentral:rRNA from 1 species
AACGCGAAGAACCUUACCUGGAUUUGACAUCCUCUGAAAUUAGUAGAGAUACUAAUGGCCCGCAAGGGACAGAGAGACAGGUGCUGCAUGGCUGUCGUCAGCUCGUGUUGUGAAAUGUUGGGUUAAGUCCCGCAACGAGCGCAACCCCUGCCUUUGGUUGCCAUCAUUAAGUUGGGCACUCCAGAGGGACUGCCGUCGUCAAGACGGAGGAAGGUGGGGAUGACGUCAAGUCCUCAUGGCCUUUAUAUCCAGGGCGACACACGUGAUACAAUGGUAGGUACAAAGGGCAGCGAAGUGGUGACACGAAGCCAAUCCCAAAAAGCCUAUCUCAGUUCGGAUUGGAGUCUGCAACUCGACUCCAUGAAGUUGGAAUCGCUAGUAAUCGCGGAUCAGCACGCCGCGGUGAAUACGUUCCCGGGCCUUGUACACACCGCUACAGU